rnacentral:ncRNA from 2 species
UCACACCGUGCGGGAGAGUCCUCGGUACCGCCGGGGCGCCGAAGGGGCAACACUCCCCAGAACCUCUCAGGCGCAAGGGACCGCUCGGGACAG